CUAUUUGGUACCGCUUGCAGGGCGGCGACCACGAGUUACCUGCCCCUAUACAAUGAGUUAAUUGCCCCUGUAUUUCAUCUGUUAAGUUGUACUUAAAAUAGGCUAACUCUUGCGCAAAAAAAGAUAGAAAAUAUCAAAUAUGGGAAAGCGGGACGAUAGACCAAACAUAUCUACGAAGAGACCGUUGUUGCCGGAAAUAUCUCUGUCUUUAGUAGUGUCCGCGAGGUAUAUUAAUUUAUAAAACAUGAGAUAUUAGUACCAUAUUGCCCGGGAAUCAAAAGAUUUUUGCAAGAUCGGUAAGUAUAUUCAAUAUAGGCUAAACAAGCACAAGGCCAGGGCACGUGGUAAGUCAUUCCGCAGCGCAGGAAUGACCAAAACUAGCCUACUACGGUACCAUUUACAGAAAUUACCAAAAAAAUGACAAAAAUUACCGAGAGAGGAGCUAAAAUUACCUCAGUAAUACAUGACAUUUACUAUCAUAUUCACAUUAAAAAUGUUGGUCCCUCCUUUGACGACUUCAAUAAUUUUUAAUUUCGGUCAUAUCUUUGGUAUUUUCUGUGAACGUUUGUAAUUUCGGACAUUAUAUGUAACAAUCCUACUAUUCAUUCCACAAUGAAGGCCAGUGGGCCUAGAUUUUUAAUUUGAUACACGUAUAAACUUAACACUGCGCAAGUUACGUCACGGAAUGCAGUAUAGGGGAGGAGAAAAUAUUUGGCUGGACCAGGAGUCGAACCUAGGAUCCCUGCAUUACUAGUCAGGUGCUCUAACCACUGAGCUAUCCAGGUCGAUAUCCACGGUCCGUGUAGCCCUAACUACUAAAUUCCUCCCUUUAAUUUGUUUUUGCCGUCGAAGACACACAACCCAGAUUCAUUUCAACCCUGGCAGGACAAGAGUAGUCAUGGCACCAACUGGUAAAAUCUUACACAGAGGUCCCUAGGUUCAAUUCCCGAUCCAGCCACAAAUUUUCUCCGUGUAUGUCUAUCUGAGACUGAGUUGGAAAAUUACGGUAUCUUCAUAGUGACAAACUAAUGAAAAUAUUGAUCAAAUUCGACUGGUCAAGGACUGUUAAUAUAAAUAAAUUUGAAACAUUGGUCAUUGUAAUGAUUGGUUUCAUGUUAUACUAAGCUUGUGUUUCAAGACAAGGCUGUCUUUGUUGGUGAUGAUACUGAUGUAUAUAUUUAGAAACAAGUAAUGCUUUGAUUUUGAUUACAGGUGUGGUCUUUAAAAAAAUUAAUGCAUGGCAAGGUUGAUAGUGAGACUAAUAAAUUCUUUCAGCAGAAUUCAGCUAGACACAAAAAAAAGACAAUCACUACAGCCUUCCAAGAAGAUGGACUACCUCACAAUAGUUUCCUUGAGGACUGUCUUGAAAUAUCCAGAGUUUAAGAUUCAAGAAACGGACUCUAUCUGGAAAAGGAAAACAAUAUCAAAGCUCCUCUGUGAGAAGCAUUCAGAAGAAAGUGGAGAUUCAUUGUUUUUACCAGAUCCAGCAGAUCACAGAGAGCAUCUAGUAGGGGAGUUUCCAGGAUUAAGCCAGCCAGUAGAUGAGACUAUUAUAUCAAAAAUACAUUUACUUGUACCCGAGGGCACACAAAGCGUUGAUGAAACAAAAAGACAUUUCCGUCUGUUUGUAAAGGAUACUAUUUCACCAGGGAACACCAUCUCAGAAUUUAACAGAUGCUUUUACCCCGCCAAUAAGGAUGUAAGAAAUCACAUUUACAGGGCACCGAGAUUUUGCCAGGUAGUUUAGAACUGUGUGCAUUGGUUUUGGAAGAAUUUGGGCUGUUUAGGCUUAAAUCCAUUAUGAUUGGACAGAAUAUGAACACACACAUCCAAUACUUCAAAGAUAUUAUGUUUGUGGAGGCAGAGAUUUUGAUUGCAUCCACUGUUUAGAAUACAUCCUUAAGGGAAGCAGACUGCUGCCUUUACCCAAUGAUAUAAUGAUUAAUCAUAACUAUAUCUGUUUUGUACCAAAUAGAAAGAGCAUUGAUUCAGGCCAUUUUCAAAUCCACUGGCAUACAUUGUACUAUACAUGCAACCUUUUCAAACUUUACAUUUAAGAUUUUAUAAAGGAAAUAUCUUAAUGUUUCACAUGUUUACCUUUCACUGUGCUAUGUAAUUCAUUAUACCUGCCAUUAUGCCAGUCUUCCUGAACAUAAUUUGUUUUCUGCAAUUUCAUUGGCCAAGAGGCUUAAUCCUGGGUUAUCAGAUUGAGCAUUUAUAUUUAGUAUCCCAUUGAUUUUGUCAGCCCUAUAUAAGGAGCUGACUCAGAUUUACUCACUCUGCUAGGUUAAAGAACUCUAAGGUUUGUACUUUUCACAUGAAUUUCGUGUUCGCCUCUUAUCUUUUACAUAGAGUAGGAAAUGAACAUAACAUUGAGUUAGGGAACUAUUUAGAUUUUACAUUAUAAUAUGUAAAUACAUGUACCUUAGCAGAGUCAAUUUACUUGGUUCAGGGUAGUAUCAGAUAUUACUUUUUCAGAGUUUAAGUGUUUAGGCUAUCUCAAUGUUUCUAUAGUUAGCCUUGUCCUAUGUUACUUUUAGAUGUAUGGAAGCCUUUUAGUGUUAUAACACUAUAUUUAUGCCCCCAUUCAAAGAAGAGGGGCAUAUUGGUUUGCACCUGUUGGUCGGUCGGUAGACCACAUGUUGUCCGCUUAAUAUCUUAAGAACCAUUCACUUGAUCGUAAUAUAUUUCAUAUGUGGGUUGGUUAUGAAAAGAAGAGGACCCCAAUUGUUUUUCAGGUCGAAAUGUCAAGGGUCAAUCUACUCUGGACAUAGGAAGACACUGCCUGCUCAAUAUCUUGAGAACCCUUUGCUUGACAGACACCAAACUUGGUACACUGGUACAUCUCAAGGAGUAGAUUUGAGGUCAUAUGGUCAAAAGUCAAGGGGUAAACUGGACGUAGUAAUAUAUUGUCUCUUAUGUUUUAAGAAUUAUUUGCUUGAUUGACACCAAACCUGGUACAGCAUAAGGAGUAGAUGACCCCUAUUGAUUUUUAGGUCACUUGGUCAAUCCACUCCUGACAUAGGAAGAUAUUGUUUGCUCAAUAUUUCGAAUUGAUGAUACUACUAUCAAUCAAAUUAUGCAUGUGUAUAACCCUUUUCAAUUUUGCACCAUGGGGGCUUAUAUGUUUUACAAACACCUCAUGUUUUAUAGUUUGUGAAAGCUUGUUAGGGUCAUAACUUUAGAUUUUCUUAUUAUGGUACUUGCCCGUCAGAGACUGGACAUAUUAUGGUAUGGUGUUGUCUGUCCGGACCUUGUAAGAUGGGAUACAGACUGAACCGUAAGCUCUAGAAUCUUACAACUUGGUACAUUUGAUCACCAUAGAAGGAAGAUGCUUAUUGUUUUUUAAGGUCAAGGUUGUAGGUUCACUUAAUAGGAAAACCUUGUUUGAGAAAAUUACAGAUUCUUGAACUGAGUAUUUUGAGGAAACAUUACAUAGAAAGUACAUGAUUUGUCAAAUUUCUCCCAAUAUUCAACUGAGAACUUUAUUCUGCAGAGUAUUUGUAUGGGUAUGGAAAAUGUGUAUGUGGCUAUGAUUUUGAUUUUUGUUUAAUUUGUUGUUGUUGAAAAUUACAGGUUUAACCGAGUCAGUUUUUGAGGAAAUAUACAUGUAUUAAAUAAAUGACGGUUUGACCUUUUAACUCCUCUCACAGUUUUGAAGCUAGGGUCUUUGUAAAUAACUUCUUUGGUGUUUUAGAAUAUUUACAGAUUGUUGAUCAUGGUCAAUUUUGGGGAAAUAUUUUCCGCAGAGCUCUAGUUGUCUAUCUACCGGCCUCCUGUCACUUUUAAGUUUAGGAGCUUUUAUUCAUGGAAAGAAAGUAUGCGACAACCUGAUGAUGGCUGAUACUAUUUAAAGCCUUUUUAUACGUCCGUCUUAAGACGGGACGUAUUAUGGUAUGGCGUUCAUGUCCGUCCGUCUGUUAGCUUUUUCGUGUCCGACCCGUAACUUAAAUACUACAAGGCCUAGAAUCAUCAAACUUUGUCUGUAGAUACAUCUUGGGUAGAAGGUGUGUCGCACAUUAAAACCAGGUCACUGUGACUUUUCAUUAAGAAGAUAUCCGUCUGUCCGUCCGUCCGUCUGUUAGCUUUUUCGUGUCCGACCCGUAACUUAAAUACUACAAGGCCUAGAAUCAUCAAACUUUGUCUGUAGAUACAUCUUGGGUAGAAGGUGUGUCGCACAUUAAAACCAGGUCACUGUGACUUUUCAUUAAGAAGAUAUCCGUCUGUCCGUCCGUCUGUUAGCUUUUUCGUGUCCGACCCAUAACUUAAUUACUACAAGGCCUAGAAUCAUCAAACUUUGUCUGUAGAUACAUCUUGGGUAGAAGGUGUGUCGCACAUUAAAACCAGGUCACUGUGACUUUUCAUUAAGAAGAUAUGGCCAUAUAUGGCAAAAACUUGUCCGACUCAUAACUUGAAAACUAUUAGACCUAGAAUCACCAAAAUUGGUCAACUAAUGCAUCUUAGGUAGAAGGUGUGUCGCACAUUAAAACCAGGUCACUGUGACUUUUCAUUAAGAAGAUAUGGCCAUAUAUGGCAAAAACUUGUCCGACUCAUAACUUGAAAACUAUUAGACCUAGAAUCACCAAAAUUGGUCAACUAAUGCAUCUUAGGUAGAAGGUGUGUCGCACCCUACUUUAAGGUCACUGUGACAUUUAAUUAAGGUGAUAUAAAAAAAAAUGUUUUAAUGGGUACAAUCUAUACUGUUAACAAUAUGUGACGGGCAUAUCAUGUGCCGUGGCGGUGCACUUUAUUCUAGAAAUGGCAUAAGAAAAACACCCUAUGUAACCUUUUCUGCUUGUACUCAUUUAUUUUUAUUGGAAAACUUAUUACUUGUUAUCAGCUACUCUAAAACAAUAUUGACUUGUGCUAUAAUAAAUUUGUAAACUUUA